rnacentral:rRNA from 1 species
CAGCAGCCGCCACGGUAAUACGAGGGGAGCUAGCGUUGUUCGGAAUUACUGGGCGUAAAGCGCGCGUAGGCGGCUUUUUAAGUCAGAGGUGAAAGCCCGGGGCUCAACCCCGGAAUUGCCUUUGAAACUGGAAAGCUAGAAUCUUGGAGAGGUCAGUGGAAUUCCGAGUGUAGAGGUGAAAUUCGUAGAUAUUCGGAAGAACACCAGUGGCGAAGGCGACUGACUGGACAAGUAUUGACGCUGAGGUGCGAAAGCGUGGGGAGCAAACAGGAUUAGAUACCCGCGUAGUCCCUGUCUCUUAUAA